CAGAUGAAGGCCCUAACAUAAGUAGUGGUCAGAAGAAAGCAAAAAAGAGCAAACAGGAAGCGAUCCUCUGCCAGAUACAUUUUACUUGAUCAGUGCCGUACUGGGAGAACAACAAAAAGAAAACAGUUGGAGCAUUCGAUUCUGAGGUACUGGUAGGAUGUGGAGUGGGUUCAAAUCUGUGACAUACAGGUGACAUCUGCUCUUUGCUGAUGACACCGUCCUUCUUGCUUCAGUGAACCGUACUUUGCUGAUGUGGGCUGGAGCACUUUGCUGGCUGAUAGCGAUGUGGAUCAACACCUCUAAGUCAGCAGUAGUUCAGUUGUCUUUGGGUCCAACUCAUAAUGGGGAGCAGCUGCAGCAGUGUAGAUGCUGCACUGCACUGGACUGGACCUCCCUUUGCUCUCUGCACACUGAUCUUGGACCUGCUGCUGGGUCUUCCAGAUGGCCUGUUGGCAUCUGCGACCACCCCCCUCCGCCCUGGGAGAAGCUGGAGUAAAUUUCUGGGGAAGAUUUGUCCUACUAACCUUUUGUUGUAUCAGCAUAGUUUUCUAGUUGAAUGGACUGACAUAUAAUUUCUUUCUCAAUGCAACCUAAAUUUGGCAAUCCCUCACUUUACCUACAGAGCUACCACAUCGAUGAAGGCGAUUUUUGUGAAAUAGUUCCUCAACAUUUUGGCGAAUUAGUCCAAAAUCUGGCACAAUUAGGUUGACAAUGUUCAUGUUGGUAUUGGAGCACUUUGCAGGCCUGAACUAAGAGACUUGCUAACUUACUUUUGCAAGGAUACUGUAUAUGUGUAUGUGUUAACAAUGUGACACAACAGAAGAAAAUCUAUUUUGCUUUGUUGACAGGUGAAAUAUUAAAGU